rnacentral:rRNA from 1 species
UUAAAUUUUAUUUAUUAAUUUAAUAUUAUUUUUUGUUAAAAUAUUAAAAAUAAUUUUAUAAUAAAAAGUUUUAGUAUUGUUUAAAGAAAGAAUAAAUUUAAUUAUAGUUCAUUAGUAUUGUAAAAGAAAAUUGAAAUAAUUUG